UGAGUGCCCAGUUCUCUUGCAGUGCUUUUAUUUAUUGUUUUGUUUUUUUUCUGUAGUGUUAUUAAUCCCCAACCUAUGUUCGUGCGCCCCUAUGCACUGUUUUGUAACCAACCUUUCUUUAAUAAACUGUUAAACUGCGACUGAUGUACAGGCACAGUACAAGGUUUUCGGUACAGGUCAGAGUCCGUUUCAGAAAAGAUGGGAUUGCUAUUUUUGCUGUUCGAACUUUCUUAGGUUUCGAGACGUGAGCUCGAGGCGAUGAAGGGUCGAGCCUGAGGGACUUCCCAUUUUUCAGUGUGUGUGUCGUGGUGGCGAGGAGCGGUGGUGUAGCUUCCUUUGACUCCUCCUGCUCCUCCUUUCUUUUCCCCCUUUAGUCUUUUUUAACGCUUGUCCUCGUGUCCCUCUUCCUCCUCGUUGCCUUUCCAUCGUUAUCGUUAUCAUCAUCCUCGCCCUCUCCGCCGGCCUUGUGUUCCUCACCUUACAUCUGCAGAUGGGGCUCACCCUCCUCUUCCUUUUUCUGCUGCUUCAACGCUUCUCGAUUUUAAUUUUCUUUCUCCUCGUUCUCAUCUUUUAUCUUGUCCUCCACCACUCCUCUCCACACGAACAAGGACACACACACGCCACACUGUCACUGUCGAUCCGGUGUCAUUGCAACGUCUUGUUCAGUCGUGAUGGUCCUCGUCCAGCUCCUCGCCACCUCACCACACGCCACCACAGUCCCUGUUGAUGCUGCGUCAACUUUAUUGUUACCUGUCGAACUUCAUUGCAGUCCUCGCCGUUGCAUUCCCACAUGCGUCGCUGUCAUGGCACCCUGGAACCCUACAGCCACAACUGCUGCUGCUGUCUUUUAUCCUGUAACAGGCGUGUGAGCGGUGUUGUGAUCGUCGCCUAGAGGUGUCCAUGUUCCGGGAGUCGCUGCCCUUCCAGUCCCCCUCCGCUGUCUGUCUGAGCAACCUGGGUGAAGAGCGGCGGACGCCGCGUUCCAUGUUAAUGUUUGCUGACCAGCCGUCCUCUCUUAUUUUCUCAGUCCUAGCGAGGUGAAGGAGGGACGCUUGCUUCUGCGGCAAACAGAAGCAAUCCGCGAGGACGACAGGAAGAAGCCGCCUCCUUUACUAACCAGUAGGGACUGGAGAGGCAAAGAGGACGGGGCUGAUCAGCAAACGGAUGGAGAAACCAAGAGUAUACCAUCUCGUGUCUCCAACCCUACGGGGUGGUUGUAAGCACCGAGCAGAAUCAGGGAGCCAAGACGCAAGUAUGGGGAUAGCCCGCGAAUGCCCGGCGAUGUCUUUAGUACGAAAACUCUGGGAGGGUGAAGAGGCACGUGGCAUUCAGCGGGUGAGAACUCGCAUGUUGCUGGAAGACAAGUAAGUGUUGCAACUAUGGACAUCUACCACCAGAGCGGUAGCCGGCCAUUACGAAUUACCCACACCAUUUUGAGAUGCAGAACCGGAUCUGCCAAACAACAACAACGAGAUGGCGCAGAAACGCUUGAAGGGACAGACGACGCCUCGCUAGGGAUUCGGACUUCAGACGACGAUAUGCAGGAGAGAGAGAACAAUUGCUGUUAAAGAGCGAUGCCAGCGUCUGAACGUGAAGGACCACGAGGAGUAACCUGGUGCCUGCCUCACCAUCCACUCAUGAACCCAAACAAACCUGAGAAAGUGAAGGCUUUGUUUGCGCAGCGAAGUACAACAACGUUUCCCUCAAAGACUGAGUGAUGCAGGUUCCUGACCUAAAUAGCAAACUGGUGGGUGCCCUUCUGCGUUUCCGAAGUGAACGGAUUGCCGCGAUGGCUGAUGUGAAGGCAAUGUUUCUCAUCAAGCUGGCGUGACCCCUCUUCACCGAGACUCCUUAAGAGAUUCCUUUGGUGGAAAGAUGGGGACCUAAGGAGGGUACGGCGCGCCUACCGAAUGACGGGUAUGUCUUUUCGGGUGUGUAUGGAGUCCCUCCUGUGCUGCUUACUCAUUGCAACGAACUUUGACCGACUGUGAGGAAGAAUAUCGCAUAGCUAGUAGUUACUGAACAUGGAGGGGCUUGUACGUGGACAACUUACUUCUUUCAGUACCCUCCACCGAAAAGGCCUCCAGAUUUACUCGCGAUCUUCGGCUCACAAAGAGAGGAUUUCUGCUAAGUGGGUUAGUUAGUAGUAACCAUAAGGAGACAUAGUACAGUACUGUGUCCUACAGAGAGAGACAGGAAUAAGAAUAGAUCUGAGUAAGGACGCACUGGCUACAAAACGGGAUCUGGAAAGGGAUCAGUCAAUCAACUAGCUGUGAGGGGAGUACUGAGGGUGAGCAGCUCCGUUCAUGACCCUCUUGGACUGGUCAGUCCUGUAAUGAUUAAGGCGAAGGCGAUGAUCUUUCAGGACGAGUGCAGCCGAUAAGGAAGGAUGGAUGACCCCCUCCUAAAUCACCACAGGUCCUAAUUGGUUGGCUUGGCUGGAGGAGUUACCAGGACUGACGGUCUUUCAAGUUCCCCGAUGCUACAGGCGGGAGGACAUGGGAGAUGUUUUAUCACUUACCAACUGCAUCAUUUCAGAUUAAACAGGCUGAGAUGGUGAUAUUAAGAGUUGUUCAAACCACAACGUGCAAAGAGGAGAUGAACAUCCUAAAGUCAAAGUCAAAGAAAAAAAACUACAGAGGAAACAUUCGAUCUGUCGAGUGGAACCCUUCAUGGGUGAGGGUGGAUUUUAUACUCCAUGUGGACGGCUGGACCACGCACCGUUGCCUGCUACAAGUCGGUAUCCCAUUUCCAUGCUCAUACGGAGAGAGAUCAUCAUAUCACAAAAUUGAUUCUACAAGAGUGCAUGAGGACUUUACUUGACAGUUCACGCAGGAUGGGAGCAUGUUACGUCACACUUACUGGAUUCCACAUACACCACCUGCCUGAGGACCGAGAGUAACCCCCAUGCUGGCACCAUUCUCGUCAGCUGGAGUGGAUUGCUUCAGACCGUUCUUGGUCAAAGUGGAAAGAAGCAGAGUGAGUGAGUGGGGAUGCCUCCACGUGCAUGACUACACACAUAAGAACAUAAGAAAUAAGGGAAGCUGCAAGAAGCGACCAGGCUUACACGUGGCAGUCCCUGUAUGAAAUAUACCUACCUAUUUUCUAUUUAUUAUCCCAAUCCAUCCAUAAA